GAUGAACGCUGGCGGCGUGCUUAACACAUGCAAGUCGAACGGAAAGGCCCAAGCUUGCUUGGGUACUCGAGUGGCGAACGGGUGAGUAACACGUGGGUGAUCUGCCCUGCACUUCGGGAUAAGCCUGGGAAACUGGGUCUAAUACCGGAUAGGACGAUGGUUUGGAUGCCAUUGUGGAAAGUUUUUUCGGUGUGGGAUGAGCUCGCGGCCUAUCAGCUUGUUGGUGGGGUAAUGGCCUACCAAGGCGUCGACGGGUAGCCGGCCUGAGAGGGUGUACGGCCACAUUGGGACGGAGAUACGGCCCAGACUCCUACGGGGGGCAGCAGGGGGGAAUAUUGAACAAGGGGCGCAAGCCUGAUGCAGGGACCCCGCGGGGGGGAUGACGGCCUUCGGGUUGUAAACCCCUUUCGCUAGGGACGAAGCUUUUUUGUGCGGGGACCGGGAGAAGAAGCACCGGCUAACUACGG
rnacentral:rRNA from 1 species